UACGGGGGGGGCAAGCGUUGUUCGGAAUUACUGGGCGUAAAGGGCUGGUAGGCGGCCAACUAAGUCGGAUGUGAAAUCCCCAGGCUUAACCUGGGAACUGCAUCCGAUACUGGUCGGCUUGAAUCCGGGAGAGGGGUGCAGAAUUCCAGGUGUAGCGGUGAAAUGCGUAGAUAUCUGGAGGAAUACCGGUGGCGAAGGCGGCAUCCUGGACCGGCAUUGACGCUGAACAGCGAAAGCUAGGGGAGCAAACGGG
rnacentral:rRNA from 1 species